rnacentral:rRNA from 1 species
ACAAAAGCGCAUGUGCUGUGAGCUCGAUGAGUAGGGCGGGACACGUGGUAUCCUGUCUGAAUAUGGGGGGACCAUCCUCCAAGGCUAAAUACUCCUGACUGACCGAUAGUGAACCAGUACCGUGAGGGAAAGGCGAAAAGAACCCCGGCGAGGGGAGUGAAAAAGAACCUGAAACCGUGUACGUACAAGCAGUGGGAGCACAGGUUUACCUGUGUGACUGCGUACCUUUUGUAUAAUGGGUCAGCGACUUAUAUUCUGUAGCAAGGUUAACCGAAUAGGGGAGCCGGAGGGAAACCGAGUCUUAAUUGGGCGUUAAGUUGCAGGGUAUAGACCCGAAACCCGGUGAUCUAGCCAUGGGCAGGUUGAAGGUUGGGUAACACUAACUGGAGGACCGAACCGACUAAUGUUGAAAAAUUAGCGGAUGACCUGUGGCUGGGGGUGAAAGGCCAAUCAAACCGGGAGAUAGCUGGUUCUCCCCGAAAGCUAUUUAGGUAGCGCCUCGUGAAUUCAUCUCCGGGGGUAGAGCACUGUUUCGGCUAGGGGGCCAUCCCGGCUUACCAACCCGAUGCAAACUGCGAAUACCGGAGAAUGUUAUCACGGGAGACACACGGCGGGUGCUAACGUCCGUCGUGAAGAGGGAAACAACCCAGACCGCCAGCUAAGGUCCCAAAGUCAUGGUUAAGUGGGAAACGAUGUGGGAAGGCCCAGACAGCCAGGAUGUUGGCUUAGAAGCAGCCAUCAUUUAAAGAAAGCGUAAUAGCUCACUGGUCGAGUCGGCCUGCGCGGAAGAUGUAACGGGGCUAAACCAUGCACCGAAGCUGCGGCAGCGACGCUUAUGCGU